GAGGGUAUAGCUCAGUGGUAGAGCACGCGCCUAGCAAACAUGAGGUCCUGAGUUCAAUCCCCAGUACCUGCA
rnacentral:tRNA from 1 species